UUGCUUAUAGGUCAUCCGCAAGAUAGUGCUAAAGAAAAGAUGGCUGCAGUCCGUGCAUGGUUAUUGAUGGCAUUACUCGCAAGCAUUUGCUUGGUGAAAGAAAAUAAUGCAGAAGAUAUUGGUUACGGCACUAUUGGAAAAGGUGGUGGUGAAGUUCAUUGUGGAGUUGGGACAUAAGGGGAAUUGUCGUCCUCAUGAAGCAGCGCCUUACCAUAGACCUUGCCAGAAAAAGGAUGGGUGUAGAGGAGAUCCACCGAACACGGAAAAGAUAGUUGAACAUGAUGGAAAUUUGCCGAAGCCCAAAGCAGGGAAGAGAAUUAAAGAUGCUGAACAGUUGCUUCACUCACUUGGGCCAACUCCCAUGUGAGUUUGUCAAAGUAUGCAAGAGAAGGAGAUAAAAUCUCUUUCCUCGUUAAAAGAAGAGAAGAAGAUCGAUGAAUUCUCGCACUUUGUCGAGUUAUGUUAUAUCUAUUUGUUGCAUGAUGUGUGUAGUACGUGUUGCUGGGUCAUUUUGUUUACAUUCUCUAAGCUACCUUCUAGGGAAGAUGAUGGCCCUACUGAAUUUCUUAAGCUUAAUUAGCCAAAUUUCUUCGCAUUAUGGAGGAACUUGGUUUGUGUCAUGUUAAUAGAGUGUUUCCUUUUUAUCAAUUAUGUAAUACUACCUUGAUCCACAAUAAAGUACUGCUUCCUCGCAGAGGCAGCUUAUUUCUUUA